rnacentral:rRNA from 1 species
GUUGUAUGGUUAAGUGACUAAGCGUACACGGUGGAUGCCUUGGCAGUCAGAGGCGAUGAAAGACGUAGUAACUUGCGAUAAGCCCAGAUUAGGUAGUAACAACCAUUUGAGUCUGGGAUUUCUGAAUGGGGAAACCCACGUGCAUAAGCACGUAUCCUUACCUGAAUACAUAGGGUAAGGAGGCGAACCGGGGGAACUGAAACAUCUAAGUACCCGAGGAAAAGAAAUCAACCGAGAUUCCGAAAGUAGCGGCGAGCGAAAUUGGACUAGCCCUUAAGCUUUACACGCGUUAGACGAACGGUCUGGAAAGUCCGACGAUACAGGGUGAUAGUCCCGUAGUUGACGACGUGUGUUCAGUGAAAUCGAGUAGGGCGGGACACGUGAUAUCCUGUCUGAAUAUGGGGGGACCAUCCUCCAAGGCUAAAUACUACUGACUGACCGAUAGUGAACCAGUACCGUGAGGGAAAGGCGAAAAGAACCCCUGUGAGGGGAGUGAAAUAGAACCUGAAACCGUGUACGUACAAGCAGUAGGAGCAGGCUUUGUCCUGUGACUGCGUACCUUUUGUAUAAUGGGUCAGCGACUUAUAUUCAGUGGCAAGGUUAACCAUCUAGGGGAGCCGUAGGGAAACCGAGUCUUAACUGGGCGUUCAGUCUCUGGAUAUAGACCCGAAACCAGGUGAUCUAGCCAUGGGCAGGUUGAAGGUUGAGUAACAUCAACUGGAGGACCGAACCGACUAAUGUUGAAAAAUUAGCGGAUGACUUGUGGCUAGGGGUGAAAGGCCAAUCAAACCUGGAGAUAGCUGGUUCUCCCCGAAAGCUAUUUAGGUAGCGCCUCGGACGAAUACUACUGGGGGUAGAGCACUGUUAAGGCUAGGGGGUCAUCCCGACUUACCAACCCUUUGCAAACUCCGAAUACCAGUAAGUACUAUCCGGGAGACACACGGCGGGUGCUAACGUCCGUCGUGGAGAGGGAAACAACCCAGACCGCCAGCUAAGGUCCCAAAUUACUACUAAGUGGGAAACGAUGUGGGAAGGCUCAGACAGCCAGGAUGUUGGCUUAGAAGCAGCCAUCAUUUAAAGAAAGCGUAAUAGCUCACUGGUCGAGUCGGCCUGCGCGGAAGAUGUAACGGGGCUAAGUAGUAAACCGAAGCUGCGGCAAUAUACUUUUGUAUAUUGGGUAGGGGAGCGUUCUGUAAGCGGUUGAAGGUGUGUGGUAACGCAUGCUGGACGUAUCAGAAGUGCGAAUGCUGACAUGAGUAACGAUAAAGGGGGUGAAAAACCUCCUCGCCGGAAGACCAAGGGUUCCUGUCCAACGUUAAUCGGGGCAGGGUAAGUCGACCCCUAAGGCGAGGCCGAAAGGCGUAGUCGAUGGGAAACGGGUUAAUAUUCCCGUACUUCUUACAAUUGCGAUGGGGGGACGGAGAAGGCUAGGUGGGCCUGGCGACGGUUGUCCAGGUUCAAGUGCGUAGGCUUGAGAGUUAGGUAAAUCCGGCUCUCUUUAAGGCUGAGACACGACGUCGAGCAUCUACGGAUGUGAAGUCAUUGAUGCCAUGCUUCCAGGAAAAGCCUCUAAGCUUCAGAUUGUAAGGAAUCGUACCCCAAACCGACACAGGUGGUCGGGUAGAGAAUACCAAGGCGCUUGAGAGAACUCGGGUGAAGGAACUAGGCAAAAUGGUACCGUAACUUCGGGAGAAGGUACGCUCUCGACGGUGAAGUCCCUUGCGGAUGGAGCUAUUGAGAGUCGCAGAUACCAGGUGGCUGCAACUGUUUAUUAAAAACACAGCACUGUGCAAAAUCGUAAGAUGACGUAUACGGUGUGACGCCUGCCCGGUGCCGGAAGGUUAAUUGAUGGGGUUAGACUUCGGUCGAAGCUCUUGAUCGAAGCCCCGGUAAACGGCGGCCGUAACUAUAACGGUCCUAAGGUAGCGAAAUUCCUUGUCGGGUAAGUUCCGACCUGCACGAAUGGCGUAAUGAUGGCCACGCUGUCUCCACCCGAGACUCAGUGAAAUUGAAAUCGCUGUGAAGAUGCAGUGUACCCGCGGCUAGACGGAAAGACCCCGUGAACCUUUACUACAGCUUGGCACUGAACAUUGACCCUACAUGUGUAGGAUAGGUGGGAGGCUUUGAAGCACGUACGCCAGUAUGUGUGGAGCCGUCCUUGAAAUACCACCCUUGUAGUGUUGAUGUUCUAACGUCGACCCCUAAUCGGGGUUGCGGACAGUGCCUGGUGGGUAGUUUGACUGGGGCGGUCUCCUCCCAAAGAGUAACGGAGGAGCACGAAGGUGGGCUAAUCACGGUUGGACAUCGUGAGGUUAGUGCAAUGGCAUAAGCCCGCUUGACUGCGAGAAUGACAAUUCGAGCAGGUGCGAAAGCAGGUCAUAGUGAUCCGGUGGUUCUGAAUGGAAGGGCCAUCGCUCAACGGAUAAAAGGUACUCCGGGGAUAACAGGCUGAUACCGCCCAAGAGUUCAUAUCGACGGCGGUGUUUGGCACCUCGAUGUCGGCUCAUCACAUCCUGGGGCUGAAGUCGGUCCCAAGGGUAUGGCUGUUCGCCAUUUAAAGUGGUACGCGAGCUGGGUUUAGAACGUCGUGAGACAGUUCGGUCCCUAUCUGCCGUGGGCGUUGGAAGAUUGAAGGGGGCUGCUCCUAGUACGAGAGGACCGGAGUGGACGAACCUCUGGUGUUCGGGUUGUGUCGCCAGACGCAUUGCCCGGUAGCUAAGUUCGGAAUCGAUAACCGCUGAAAGCAUCUAAGCGGGAAGCGAGCCCUGAGAUGAGUCUUCCCUGAUACUUUAAGUAUCCUAAAGGGUUGUCGGAGACUACGACGUUGAUAGGUCAGGUGUGUAAGUGCUGUGAGGCAUUGAGCUAACUGAUACUAAUUGCCCGUGAGGCUUAACCAUACAACACCCAAGGGGUUU